AUUGAACGCUGGCGGCAUGCCUUACACAUGCAGGUCGAACGGCAGCACGGGGGCAACCCUGGUGGCGAGUGGCGCACGGGUGAGUAACACGUAGGUAAUCUACCUUCGAGUGGGGAAUAACUCAGGGAAACUUGAGCUAAUACCGCAUAAUGCAGCGGCACCACAUGGUGACAGUUGUUAAAGCAUUUAUGCGCUUGAAGAGGAGCCUGCGGCGGAUUAGCUAGUUGGUAAGGUAAUGGCUUACCAAGGCUACGAUCUGUAACGGCCUGAGAGGGCGGACGGUCACACUGACACUGAAUAACGGGUCAGACUCCUACGGGAGGCAGCA
rnacentral:rRNA from 1 species